UACGUAGGGGGCAAGCGUUGUCCGGAUUUAUUGGGCGUAAAGAGCGUGUAGGCGGUCAGGUAGGUCCGUUGUGAAAACUCGAGGCUCAACCUCGAGACGCCGAUGGAAACCAUCUGACUAGAGUCCGGAAGAGGAGAGUGGAAUUCCUGGUGUAGCGGUGAAAUGCGUAGAUAUCGGGAGGAACACCUGUGGCGAAAGCGGCUCACUGGACCACAACUGACGCUGAGGCGCGAAAGCUAGGGGAGCAAACAGG
rnacentral:rRNA from 1 species